rnacentral:rRNA from 1 species
AUUGAACGCUGGCGGCAGGCCUAACACAUGCAAGUCGAACGAGUGGCGGACGGGUGAGUAGUGUCUGGGAAACUGCCUGAUGGAGGGGGAAAGCUACUGGAAACGGUAGCUAAUACCGCCUACAAUCAGAUGUGCCCAGGUGGGAUUGGCUAGUAGGUGGGGUAAGGGCUCACCUAGGCGACGAUCCCUAGCUGGUCUGAGAGGAUGACCAGCCACACUGGAACUGAGACACGGUCCAGACUCCUACGGGAGGCAGCAGUGGGGAAUAUUGCACAAUGGGCGCAAGCCUGAUGCAGCCAUGCCGCUUGUAUGAAGAAGGCCUUCGGGUUGUAAAGUACUUUCAGCGGGGAGGCGUUACCCGCAGAAGAAGCACCGGCUAACUCCGUGCCAGCAGCCGCGGUAAUAC